GCGGUACCGGUUCACGCCCCCGGGCGACCCGGCGACC
rnacentral:ncRNA from 1 species